CAGGAAGGAAGCCAGAUUGGGAAGGCUCCCAUCGGCCCCUCUAAAACCAGGAGACCAGGACUGAAACAGAAGGCCACGACCUCCAUUUCUUACCAAGGCCUGGGCCUUCGAGACAAACUCAGUUCCUUCAACAGCUAUCUUCUGAGUGCCUGACUGAGAGAGGAGCUGCUCUGGGGCCUGAGACUUUUCUUGCAGUCCCUGUCCUCUUAGCCCCUGCAACACGGGAGGGGAGACAGAUGAGGAAGUAAAUGCUGCUGGGAGACAGAGCAGCAAGGGAGGUCCUGCGAUAUUGGGGGGGCAGGGUGAGGAGUAGCAGAUUCUGGACAUUUUGAAGACAAAAUAAACAAGAUUUGCUGCGGCAUUUGGGUGAGUGCUGGGAGAAAGAGAAGCGUGGACAACAACCCCAGAGUUUCUUCCAGAGCCUGAGGGGAAGAUACAGUUCCCCUUUUCUGAGAGGAACAGGACGCAGGGCAAGAGAGAUUCAUGGGAGAGCUAAGAGGACAAACCCAGUCUCUCCGGACUGGACUGCCUUCUUUCCCCGGGUUGGAGAAGUUAAACACUGCGCUCAAAAGCUAAGGCGCCAGAGAGGAAAUACGGGUUAAAGCCCAGAAAGGGCCGGGCUGAACGUGUCCUCAGACUGGGAGGUGUCAGACUCCGAUCCUCUCAUUGCCCCCGCAAGUAUAUCCGGAGGAUUCCUCCAAUCGCUCUCUCCUGGAAGACCACUCCCAGCACCCUACUAGAUGGAGACAUUGAGGCUCCAGGAGAGGAAGCCACUGCCCCAGGAGCCUAGAUCUGUUGGUUCUUUGCCUCUGCAUCACCUAGUUUCAAAUGACCCAAGCCACCUCCUGCCUCCUGGCCCUUGGGCAUCUUCCCCUCCCCUGCUUCAGACCCUGGACCCUUCAGCCGCAGAGCCCAGGGGUCCCUGUCCCUGUCCCUGUCCUGGGACACCACGCUCAGAUACCCUGGGUGGCUAAAGGAAGCAGGGCUUGGGGCUUUCUGCAGGAACAGCCAUCACACCCCAGAGCUUUCCUAGAGUGGUCGUAGGCUGAGUAGUACCUCCUCCACACCCACCCAAACACACACACCCAAACAGGCUGCAGGGUGUGGUUUGAUAAAAGGAAGACAUGGCUCAAGGUUCCAGGCUCCUGCUGGUUUUUCAAGGCAAUGAGCUGCCCCUCCCUAUGAGUAUGCCAGCACAAGCUCAUGACCCUGUCCAGCCACAGUGCCCCAGGGGUCCCUGCAGCCACCUUGCUUCUUGCCCAGAACUCAAUUCCAGCCUUCGAGGGACUCAGAGAGCGGGGAUGUUUCUCAGGGAUCUCCCAGUGGAAAUGCUGUCAGCAGCGGCCAUCAGUGGAUGAGGCUCCCCUCCCCCGGGGCUUCCUACUUCAGACUCAGACUCCCAUGUGGCAGAGGAGGGGGGUCCCCUCCCCACUGCACAGUGAGCCACACCGGGCCAUGGACUUGAGGUUCAAGCCCCUUCCCACCCAUCCCCUGCUUGACUGACACCCUUCUGCCUGGAGCAUCAUGGGAAUUAAGGAGUAGGCCACUGCCCUGCCCCUCAGAGAAGAGAGGGGAUCCGAAGAGGAGCUAAGGGCUCCCCGAGGAAAGGUGGGGGAACUCCAUCUCCAAACUUGGCAUGGUCUCAGCGUUGUCGGAGGACUUUUGAGGGAAGGAGGAGGAGGAGAAGGACGACGACGACGACGACAACGACGACGACAACGCAGGGGCCCAGGUGCUCCUGCUGCCCCAAGGAGCCCGGCGGCAGGAGGCAUGGACGUGGGGGCUGUCGGGCUGGCCCGAGUGCUCUGGCGAGCAGGCCUCGGGGUGGGAAGACUUCUCGCUGCUGCCCCUGAGAGGGCCCCGUCUUGGUUCCCACCAGAAGACCCCCAAGGCCAGGCCUCAGGCCUCCCCUUCAAGACUGACAGUCUCCCAGGGCCUGUGACAGCCAAGCCCCACGACGCUGUGGCCUCUCAUUGCCCACAACUGCACCAAGAGUUCAGCUCUCAGAGGUGGCCAGGUGCCCCCUGCUAGGGGGCCCUCCCACGGCCCUAGUGCCCGGAACAGUCCCUUUCUCCAAAAUAAAUAUUUUUGUUAGAC